GAUGAACGCUGGCGGCGUGCCUAAUACAUGCAAGUCGAGCGAACGGACGAGAAGCUUGCUUCUCUGAUGUUAGCGGCGGACGGGUGAGUAACACGUGGAUAACCUAUCUAUAAGACUGGGAUAACUUCGGGAAACCGGAGCUAAUACCGGAUAAUAUUUUGAACCGCAUGGUUCAAAAGUGUAAGACGGUCUUGCUGUCACUUAUAGAUGGAUCCGCGCUGCAUUAGCUAGUUGGUAAGGUAACGGCUUACCAAGGCAACGAUGCAUAGCCGACCUGAGAGGGUGAUCGGCCACACUGGAACUGAGACACGGUCCAGACUCCUACGGGAGGCAGCAGUAGGGAAUCUUCCGCAAUGGGCGAAAGCCUGACGGAGCAACGCCGCGUGAGUGAUGAAGGUCUUCGGAUCGUAAAACUCUGUUAUUAGGGAAGAACAUAUGUGUAAGUAACUGUGCACAUCUUGACGGUACCUAAUCAGAAAGCCACGGCUAACUACGUG
rnacentral:rRNA from 1 species